CAGAGUUGCAAAACUCCCUAAACCAUCGCUGAAUCGUUACCCGUAACGUUGCCUCGGCGCUGGCGGCCCGGAGGUCUCCCGGGCCCCCGAUCCUCGGGUCUCCCCUCGCGGGAGCUGCCCGCCGGAGUGCCGAACCAAACUCUUGAUAAUUUAUGGCUCUCUGAGUACUUUGUAUGAAUAAGUCA
rnacentral:misc_RNA from 1 species